UACGAAGGGUGCAAGCGUUACUCGGAAUUACUGGGCGUAAAGCGUGCGUAGGCGGUUCGCUGUGUCCGAUGUGAAAGCCCCGGGCUUAACCUGGGAAUGGCAUUGGAAACUGGCGGGCUUGAGUGCGGCAGAGGGGGGUGGAAUUCCGCGUGUAGCAGUGAAAUGCGUAGAUAUGCGGAGGAACACCGAUGGCGAAGGCAAUCCCCUGGGCCUGCACUGACGCUCAUGCACGAAAGCGUGGGGAGCAAACAGG
rnacentral:rRNA from 1 species